rnacentral:rRNA from 1 species
AGAGUUUGAUCAUGGCUCAGAUUGAACGCUGGCGGCAUGCCUUACACAUGCAAGUCGAACGGCAGCGCGGGAGCAAUCCUGGCGGCGAGUGGCGAACGGGUGAGUAAUACAUCGGAACGUGCCCAAUCGUGGGGGGAUAACGCAGCGAAAGCUGUGCUAAUACCGCAUACGAUCUACGGAUGAAAGCAGGGGACCCGCAAGGCCUUGCGCGAGUGGAGCGGCCGAUGGCAGAUUAGGUAGUUGGUGGGGUAAAGGCUCACCAAGCCUGCGAUCUGUAGCUGGUCUGAGAGGACGACCAGCCACACUGGGACUGAGACACAGCCCAGACUCCUACGGGAGGCAGCAGUGGGGAAUUUUGGACAAUGGGCGCAAGCCUGAUCCAGCCAUGCCGCGUGCAGGAUGAAGGCCUUCGGGUUGUAAACUGCUUUUGUACGGAACGAAAAGGUCUUCUUUAAUAAAGAGGGCACAUGACGGUACCGUAAGAAUAAGCACCGGCUAACUACGUGCCAGCAGCCGCGGUAAUACGUAGGGUGCGAGCGUUAAUCGGAAUUACUGGGCGUAAAGCGUGCGCAGGCGGUGAUGUAAGACAGUUGUGAAAUCCCCGGGCUCAACCUGGGAACUGCAUCUGUGACUGCAUCGCUGGAGUGCGGCAGAGGGGGAUGGAAUUCCGCGUGUAGCAGUGAAAUGCGUAGAUAUGCGGAGGAACACCGAUGGCGAAGGCAAUCCCCUGGGCCUGCACUGACGCUCAUGCACGAAAGCGUGGGGAGCAAACAGGAUUAGAUACCCUAGUAGUCC